AGAAGCAGAGCAGCAGCAACAUCGAUCGGAGGAAGCUGCAGCACAGAGCAAACAACGAAAAGCGAAGUCUUCAAUAGCAACGCACUGGUACCUUGGUAGUAGCUAGCACGAGCAGUAGCGGAUUUAGAUCUCACCAUCCCUCUAUGGAAUUCUUCCUUGUCAGCUUAAGAAGUCAUCCGUCAUCCUAGUCUGGAAGAAAUCAUUCCAAGCUUGGGCCUCCGCCUCGGCAGGUAAUCACAAAAAAUUCCUUGAGCCAGAAACUUCUUUAGAUCUAAUUUAUCCUGGUUGACUACGCUCUGUCACCUUUGGGAGGUGGUUUCUGUGUUUCUUUUGCUAAUCAAACAUGCAACCAGACGAAGUAGUAGGCCUAUGAUUUGACAACUCAUAUAUUAUGUCAAGCAAACAACUUUUCCUGUGGCAAAAACAGAAGGGUCGCAAAAAAUGUGCUUGCUCUUGUUUCAGGCCUACCGUGGCACGUAAUUGCAAAUGGAACGCCAAUCUACUAUCACACCAUGGGACCUGGAGUGCAUGCUAUAUGACGAAAUGGCGAAGCCCAAGGCCCUGCCACUGUCACUUCUGAAAGAAAUCACAAAUGGUUUCUCUCCUGAGAAGCAAAUUGGCUACGGUGGGUUUGCAGUGGUUUACAAGGGAAUUCUUGAGAAUAGGACCAUCGCGGUGAAAAGGAUGUCCAAUACAUACAAGUAUGAGAAGGAGUUCCUCCGAGAAG